rnacentral:rRNA from 1 species
UACGUAGGGUGCGAGCGUUGUCCGGAAUUAUUGGGCGUAAAGGGCUCGUAGGCGGUCUGUUGCGUCGGGAGUGAAAACUCAGGGCUUAACCCUGAGCCUGCUUCCGAUACGGGCAGACUAGAGGUAUGCAGGGGAGAACGGAAUUCCUGGUGUAGCGGUGAAAUGCGCAGAUAUCAGGAGGAACACCGGUGGCGAAGGCGGAUCUCUGGGCCUUACCUGACGCUCAGGUGCGAAAGCGUGGGGAGCGAACAGG